AGUGAACGCUGGCGGCAGGCCUAACACAUGCAAGUCGAGCGGGCACUUCGGUGUCAGCGGCUGAUGGGUGUGUAACACGUGGGAACGUACCCUUCUGUUCGGAAUAACGCUGGGAAACUAGCGCUAAUACCGGAUACGCCCUUUUAGGGCAAGGUUUACUGCCGAAGGUUCGGCCCGCGUCUGAUUAGCUAUUUGGUGUGGUAAUGGCCUACCACGGCGUCGUUCAGUAGCUGGUCUGAGAGGAUCAUCAGCCACACUGAGGAGAAGACCCGGCCCAGACUCCUACGGGAGGCGGGAGUGGGGGAUAUAGGAAAAUCGCGGCAGGGAUGAAGCAGCCAGGCUGGGUGAGUGAUGAAGUUCGGAGAGAUGUAAAGCUCUUUUGUCCGGGACGAUAAUGACGGUACCGGAAGAAUAAGCCCCGGCUAACUUCGUG
rnacentral:rRNA from 1 species